rnacentral:lncRNA from 1 species
UUGGACCCCUAGCCUGGGACUUUCCAUAUGGGGCAAGUGCUCCCCUCCAAGAAAAAGUAAAAGCUUUUUUGGCAUUAAUAUCUUUUCAUGUGUGCUUGUGUCCACAUGAGAGCAUCUUUCCAUCUCAGUGAGAAAAAUGAGCAUCCCCAUAGGAUAAUACACUCUCACCUUCUUCUCAUGCCGCUUCAAAUUGUAAGUAAAGAGAUAUAAAUUGGGGGCUAAUUAUACUCUUUCCAGUUUUCUUAUUUUUCCUCCAGAGCGCCUUCGGAAUAUGGCAGAGAUACUGUAACGCCACCUGCCAGGGCUGUGACUCGAACCAGGCAAGUGAGAAGAAAUAAAACUUCCUGAGUUGGGAGGAACACAGGCCCUGUGGACCAGGAGUCGCUGGAAGCUUCUGGAGCAGAAGGGCUCAGCCCUGCAAGGGCCACUGAGGCCAGGAGGGUGGCUUCGCAGGAAGAGGAAGGACAUUCAGGCUUAGAGCACAAAUCCCAGGUGAUCCUGGAGAGCAUCUCUGGUUCUGUUCUCGUCUGUGUUUCCUACGUGUUGCACUGGGGACAGCCAGGCACAGUGUUGCGGAUCUGUGUGAAUGGGCAACUAGAGAUCACGCAUUUUAUCACUCAUGUCCAAAGUGCUUAAAAGUUACUUUGCUGAUUUAACGUGGAAAGCGUCCAGGAUGGACUUCCUGUGACCGAUCUGACGGGGGCAGGUGUUUACCUGUGUCCAUGCAUCACUCUUCAGACGUGUUCUCCGUGUGCGUAAUGGAUCCGACACGUUGUUGUGUCUCCUACAAGAGUGGGCAGUUGUGUUCCAUGUACGUUUC